rnacentral:rRNA from 1 species
AUGAACGCUAGCUACAGGCUUAACACAUGCAAGUCGAGGGGCAGCAUUUUAGUUUGCUUGCAAACUAAAGAUGGCGACCGGCGCACGGGUGAGUAACACGUAUCCAACCUGCCGAUAACUCGGGGAUAGCCUUUCGAAAGAAAGAUUAAUAUCCGAUAGUAUAUUAAAACCGCAUGGUUUUACUAUUAAAGAAUUUCGGUUAUCGAUGGGGAUGCGUUCCAUUAGUUUGUUGGCGGGGUAACGGCCCACCAAGACUACGAUGGAUAGGGGUUCUGAGAGGAAGGUCCCCCACAUUGGAACUGAGACACGGUCCAAACUCCUACGGGAGGCAGCAGUGAGGAAUAUUGGUCAAUGGACGAGAGUCUGAACCAGCCAAGUAGCGUGAAGGAUGACUGCCCUAUGGGUUGUAAACUUCUUUUAUAUGGGAAUAAAGUAUUCCACGUGUGGAAUUUUGUAUGUACCAUAUGAAUAAGGAUCGGCUAACUCCGUGCCAGCAGCCGCGGUAAUACGGAGGAUCCGAGCGUUAUCCGGAUUUAUUGGGUUUAAAGGGAGCGUAGGUGGAUUGUUAAGUCAGUUGUGAAAGUUUGCGGCUCAACCGUAAAAUUGCAGUUGAAACUGGCAGUCUUGAGUACAGUAGAGGUGGGCGGAAUUCGUGGUGUAGCGGUGAAAUGCUUAGAUAUCACGAAGAACUCCGAUUGCGAAGGCAGCUCACUAGACUGCAACUGACACUGAUGCUCGAAAGUGUGGGUAUCAAACAGGAUUAGAUACCCUGGUAGUCCACACAGUAAACGAUGAAUACUCGCUGUUUGCGAUAUACAGUAAGCGGCCAAGCGAAAGCAUUAAGUAUUCCACCUGGGGAGUACGCCGGCAACGGUGAAACUCAAAGGAAUUGACGGGGGCCCGCACAAGCGGAGGAACAUGUGGUUUAAUUCGAUGAUACGCGAGGAACCUUACCCGGGCUUAAAUUGCAUUUGAAUAAUCUGGAAACAGGUUAGCCGCAAGGCAAAUGUGAAGGUGCUGCAUGGUUGUCGUCAGCUCGUGCCGUGAGGUGUCGGCUUAAGUGCCAUAACGAGCGCAACCCUUAUCUUUAGUUACUAACAGGUCAUGCUGAGGACUCUAGAGAGACUGCCGUCGUAAGAUGUGAGGAAGGUGGGGAUGACGUCAAAUCAGCACGGCCCUUACGUCCGGGGCUACACACGUGUUACAAUGGGGGGUACAGAAGGCAGCUACCUGGUGACAGGAUGCUAAUCCCAAAAACCUCUCUCAGUUCGGAUCGAAGUCUGCAACCCGACUUCGUGAAGCUGGAUUCGCUAGUAAUCGCGCAUCAGCCAUGGCGCGGUGAAUACGUUCCCGGGCCUUGUACACACCGCCCGUCAAGCCAUGAAAGCCGGGGGUACCUGAAGUACGUAACCGCAAGGAGCGUCCUAGGGUAAAACUGGUAAUUGGGGCU